CACGGCGUGGAGAAGCGGUAUCUCAUUGCGCUCAUAACGCAAAGAACGCAGGUUCGAUUCCUGCCGCCGUAA
rnacentral:tRNA from 1 species